UAUUUCCCCUCCUCCUCCAGCUCAGGGCCUGGUGGCUCAGCAGACUGAUAGCAUUGUGAUUAACACCAGCUGUCUGCAAUUACUGAUUCUGGAUUGUUCAUUCUGGGAGUGGUCUGAUGAUAGAAGAUGGAUGCCAGAACUGGGAUUAUUUUUGCCUGUCUUCCAUGGAGAAGGACAAAUGCUUUUGUGGAGAAAGACAAGCCCUUCACUUCUUCUAAGAAAAUGUAUAUGACCCCCCCACAAACUCACUCUCAGUGACUACAGGUGGCUUACAAAGAUAACAACUCAAUAUAAGAUGAACAGCAAUAAUCAAUAAUAAUAUACCAAUAAGGAAUAAGCAAUAAUUGUCGAGUAGCAAAUCUCCUCAACACACACGUGAUGAACCUGAUGGCAAGAACCUUACCCAUGCACGGAAGGGGUGUUCAAGAAUACAUCCGGGAGAAAAUCCAGGCAAUCUGAAGCAAAAGCGGCGACGACAGCUGAUGACAUCAUUCACCGGCAUUCUCAGCCUUGGAAUGGGAAGGGCGGGAGCUGGCGAUAUAUUCAAAGAUGCUACAGCUGUAAACUGAUUUACAAUGCCUAUAAAACCGCAGCAACUGAGCAGCCAGCUAACUCCGUCUUUGAGCUGAAGUCACAGGGGCAGCGUUUUCUGUAAGACCGUCAUGUUAACCGAGAUUAAACCCUGGAUUGUAUUAGCCAA